GAGCUAUCCUGUAAUCAUAGAUUUUUGAGGGAAAAAUAGAUCAUAUGCUAUAAAAAUAAAUAUAUAACAUUCUUCUUAUGUACAAAUAAUGUGACAGUCUCGUUUGAUCAAAUUAAAAUUAUAAAACUUAACAUCUUAAAUAGAAUUGUGGUUUGUAUCUUCCACAUAACAGCACAGACACCAAAAUUUGUUUUUUUUUAAUUUCAGAUGAUAGGAUUAGAGUGUUUUUUUUUUUCUGCUCAUGAAAAUAACACAGUCCUACAGAAUCUUUUAGUUUAACUGAGCAUCUGUAGAAUUAUUUAAGAUUUCAAAAUAUGGAAUAUAUAACCUUCAUAUUGAAAAGUGCUUUAAUUUAUGGUCACAAUACAAUUUGCAUAAUUCAGGUAAUUAGUUUAAAAGAAUGGAGCCCUUUCAUCC
rnacentral:lncRNA from 1 species